GAGGUUGUGGCUCAGUGGUAAAGCACUCACCUGGCAAGUUCGAGGCCCUGGGUUCAAUUUUCAGCACCACA
rnacentral:tRNA from 1 species